rnacentral:rRNA from 1 species
GGCUUAACACAUGCAAGUCGAGGGGCAGCAUGGUCUUAGCUUGCUAAGGCCGAUGGCGACCGGCGCACGGGUGAGUAACACGUAUCCAACCUGCCGUCUACUCUUGGACAGCCUUCUGAAAGGAAGAUUAAUACAAGAUGGCAUCAUGAGUCCGCAUGUUCACAUGAUUAAAGGUAUUCCGGUAGACGAUGGGGAUGCGUUCCAUUAGAUAGUAGGCGGGGUAACGGCCCACCUAGUCUUCGAUGGAUAGGGGUUCUGAGAGGAAGGUCCCCCACAUUGGAACUGAGACACGGUCCAAACUCCUACGGGAGGCAGCAGUGAGGAAUAUUGGUCAAUGGGCGAGAGCCUGAACCAGCCAAGUAGCGUGAAGGAUGACUGCCCUAUGGGUUGUAAACUUCUUUUAUAAAGGAAUAAAGUCGGGUAUGGAUACCCGUUUGCAUGUACUUUAUGAAUAAGGAUCGGCUAACUCCGUGCCAGCAGCCGCGGUAAUACGGAGGAUCCGAGCGUUAUCCGGAUUUAUUGGGUUUAAAGGGAGCGUAGAUGGAUGUUUAAGUCAGUUGUGAAAGUUUGCGGCUCAACCGUAAAAUUGCAGUUGAUACUGGAUAUCUUGAGUGCAGUUGAGGCAGGCGGAAUUCGUGGUGUAGCGGUGAAAUGCUUAGAUAUCACGAAGAACUCCGAUUGCGAAGGCAGCCUGCUAAGCUGCAACUGACAUUGAGGCUCGAAAGUGUGGGUAUCAAACAGGAUUAGAUACCCUGGUAGUCCACACGGUAAACGAUGAAUACUCGCUGUUUGCGAUAUACUGCAAGCGGCCAAGCGAAAGCGUUAAGUAUUCCACCUGGGGAGUACGCCGGCAACGGUGAAACUCAAAAGGAAUUGACGGGGGCCCGCACAAGCGGAGGAACAUGUGGUUUAAUUCGAUGAUAUCCGAGGAACCUUACCCGGGCUUAAAUUGCAGAUGAAUUACGGUGCAAGCCGUAAGCCGCAAGGCAUCUGUGAAGGUGUUGCAUGGUUGUCGUCAGCUCGUGCCGUGAGGUGUAGGUUUAAGUGCCAUAACGAGCGCAACCCUUGUUGUCAGUUAGUAACAGGUUCCGUUGAGGACUCUGACAAGACUGCCAUCGUAGGAGGUGGGGAAGGUGGGGAUGACGUCAAAUCAGCACGGCCCUUAGGUCCGGGGCUACACACGUGUUACAAUGGGGGGUACAGAGGGCCGUUACCACGCGAGUGGAUACCAAUCCCCAAAACCUCUCUCAGUUCGGACUGGAGUCUGCAACCCGACUCCAGGAAGCUGGAUUCGUUAGUAAUCGCGCAUCAGCCACGGCGCGGUGAAUACGUUCCCGGGCCUUGUACACACCGCCCGUCAAGCCAUGGGAGCCGGGGGUACCUGAAGUGCGUAACCGCGAGGAGCGCCCUAGGGUAAAACUGGUGACUGGGGCU